rnacentral:lncRNA from 1 species
UCGUCGAUCGGCUCCGUUAAACUUGAUCUACAGUAUUUCAAGUACCUAGAAAAUAAAUUUUAUUAUUUUUCGAUAUCAUUUGCCUAGUGAUUGAAUGGGCUCAAAAUCAACAAAUUUCAAUGGUCGUAGUGAGCCGUUUGCAAGUUUAACGGUGUAGAAAUAUCCAAAUCACGUGAAAUUUUGAUAGAAAAUUCUUUAUACUAUAUAAAACAAGAUCAAUAUCUUUGAUUUAAAAUUUUAAUGUCAUAUUAUCACAUUAUGUAAGAUUUUUAUUUUCAGCCGUUGAUUUUAAGCCCCUUCAUUCACUAGGCAAAUGAUAUCGUAAAAUCAUAAAAUUUAUUUUCUAGGUACUUCAAAUACUCUAGAUCAAGUUUAAUGGAGCCGAUUGACGAUUCGAAAGUCGCAACAUUGAAAUGAGCUGGAAGCACGGAAGGCUCCGUACUUCCGAUAGCAUAGUAGCCUCACUAUAUAUAUAUAUAUAUAUAAUUGGGCUGGAAUACUAUUAAUAGUAUUUAGACUUUUUUACUAUCGAACUUUUAACCCUUAAAUGAAAAAUUAUAAGGUUGGGAUGAUAGUGGUCCUCUAAGUUUAGUAGUAACCCCCUAGGGCUGAGUGAGUGGUUUGUUGAAUAGUAUGAUUUAAAGGAUGAAAUUAAUUAAAGUGUAAAUCUAGAGGCUAAAAAAUCGAUAGUAAAAGUGCCCAAAUACUACUAAUAGUAUUCCAUGAACGAGGCUAGUAUACUAUCUAUAGUACCAGAGCUUUGAUACUAUAAUCUUGUUUUCGAUAUUAGAGUAUUCAAAUCACUGAUUCAUACAAUUAAGUAUGAUUUAGGGUAUAUGAAGUUUUUAGUAAUAAAAUUUUAUUUUUUUUUCGACAUCGUUUACUUAGUAAAUAAACCAUGCCAAAAUGAAUGAUAGAAAUUAAACAAUCUUUAAAAUUUGAGAAUAGAACUUCUGAAUUCAAUGUCAAAGAUAACGAUCUUGAUCUAGAUAGUUUAAAAUAUUUUCUAUCAAAAUUAGAAUAAAUUUAAGUUCUUCCUCACCGUUAAACUAUGAAGUGGCAAAGGGCUUGGUGGUUAGUACCUAAGGUGCCAAGUUCGAAUCCUAGUUGAUUCACAUUUCCAGCUAAGUUUAUUUCUAAAUGAAAUAAACGAAACGGGUAGUGUGCUACCUAUUUCUCAAAAAAAUAAAAAAUUAUAAUUUUGAAAUAGUUUGAUCAUCAAGUAAACUAUGUUGAAAAAAUAUAAAAUUUCAUUUGUAAAAACUUCAAAUACCCUAGAUCAGUUUUAACGAUGUGGAUUUUUUGCUUUAAACUUCCUAAAAUAAAAAACGAGACUAUAGUACCGGAGUCCUAGUACUAUAGAU